GUCUUCGUGGUGUAGUGGUCAGCACGCUCGACGCGUAACCGAGAGGUCCGUGGUUCGAUUCCCGGCGAAGGGG
rnacentral:tRNA from 1 species